rfam:Beta vulgaris subsp. vulgaris 0334.scaffold00822.con0003.1, whole genome shotgun sequence.
UGCAAUCAAUGAUGAAAAAUUCCGAAAUUAUCCUGAGUAAUUUUCAGUGAUUAAUUCGUUUAAUAUCACCAUCUUUCGGCUGAGAUUGCA